UACGAAGGGGGCUAGCGUUGUUCGGAAUUACUGGGCGUAAAGCGCACGUAGGCGGAUUGUUAAGUCGGGGGUGAAAUCCUGAGGCUCAACCUCAGAACUGCCUUCGAUACUGGCGAUCUUGAGUCCGGAAGAGGUGAGUGGAACUGCGAGUGUAGAGGUGAAAUUCGUAGAUAUUCGCAAGAACACCAGUGGCGAAGGCGGCUCACUGGUCCGGUACUGACGCUGAGGCACGAAAGCGUGGGGAGCAAACAGG
rnacentral:rRNA from 1 species